rnacentral:lncRNA from 1 species
CCAAACAUUCAAUGGUCCUAUCACAAGAAUCAACAAUGGCCUAUAAGUUUUAAAUCACCACAAUGCUUUUCAGAAUGCCGUAGAUAUGUAUCGACGUUAGCUUUUUGUUGUAAGUGGUGAAACGCCACCCUUAGCGAGUUUCUAAUUAGAGAUGUGGUGGCGAAACAAUUUGAGAUCUUAUGGUCAGUCGGGAGAUUCAGUGGCUUGAUACACAUGUUUGAGAACCUUGUUUUCAACUAUCAUUUUCUCCGGGAGCUCUUAUGUCUAACUUGUUGCUGCCCAAAAAAAACUGAAGUUCAGAAAACCAGAGAACCGAUAGUGAGAUAUACAAAUGAAAAGAGAGAUAUCCUUUUCCAACAGAGAACAGAGAUAUUUGGUCGAGUAAUCUACAAAAGGGAUGUAUAAAACAAAGAGAAGUAAAUCAGAAAAAAUUGUGGUUCAGAGAAUCUAACUACAGAUCGAGUAAUUAUUGCUGCUUUUUACGUUCGUUAUGAAUAAUGUUUUGAACAUGGGGUCACUUAUAACAAAAAAGCAGUAAUCAACAUAUCUAGUAAAAUCAAACUAUUUAUAUAUAAAUAGAUAAAAAUCAAAACAGAGAGAAAAGCAAUAUGUUGAUUACAUGUUCGUCUAAAAAAAAUUCAGAUUUUAUGGUGAUUUGGAUUAUUGGGAUCACCUUAUGAGAGGAGGAGGAAGACGACCAGAGGUGGAAAGUUGGAAUGAAUGAACUGUGAGGAUGAAAUAGGAAUUUGGUGUUAAGGGAUCAUGUUCGGCUGUCGAGCAGGAAAGACAGUUCUAUAAUAGUAACAAUAAUUUUUUUAUGGUGAUUUGGAUAAAGU